GACCUGGUGGUGUAAUGGUUAACACACCGGCAUGCUGUCUGUUUGAAUUAAUAAACCUAUGUGGGAGAUCCCUGUUUGAAUCAGGGCUGGGUCA